GAAAUAAAUUUAAUGGAACUUCUAAUUCUAUGUCAGAUAAUUAAAUUUUAUCUUUAUUUCU
rnacentral:tRNA from 1 species